rnacentral:rRNA from 1 species
CUAACAUGUAUGCGAGUUUGUGGGUGUUAAACCCAUAUAGGCAAAAGGAAACUAAUUCGUGGGAUCCCUUUCUAAAGUGCACCAUGGACCAACUUUGAUCUUUUGAGAAGGGUUUGAGUGUUAGCGUACCUACUAUGAACUAUCCCUAACUAGGGUGAAGCUAGAAGAAACUUUGGGGGAGCCUCGUAGUCCCAAAGAUUAACUCCUAGUACUAAGGGUGGCUAAGGGUAAAAACCCAAAGCAUGU